rnacentral:rRNA from 1 species
CCUACGGGAGGCAGCAGUGGAGAAUAUUGGGCAAUGGGCGCGAGCCUGACCCAGCAACGCCGCGUGAAGGAAGAAGGCUCUCGGGUUGUAAACUUCUUUUAUCAGGGACGAAGCAAGUGACGGUACCUGAUGAAUAAGCCACGGCUAACUACGUGCCAGCAUCCGCGGUAAUACGUAGGUGGCAAGCUUUAUCCGGAUUUACUGGGGGUAAAGGGCGUGUAGGCGGGAAAGCAAGUCAGAUGUGAAAACCAUGGGCUCAACCUGUGGCCAGCAUUUGAAACUGUUGUUCUUGAGUACUGGAGAGGCAGACGGAAUUCCUAGUGUAGCGGUGAAAUGCGUAGAUAUUAGGAGGAACACCAGUGGCGAAGGCGGUCUGCUGGACAGCAACUGACGCUGAGGCGCGAAAGCGUGGGGAGCAAACAGGAUUAGAUACCCUAGUAGUC